GAUGAACGCUGGCGGCGUGCCUAAUACAUGCAAGUCGAGCGAACGGACGAGAAGCUUGCUUCUCUGAUGUUAGCGGCGGAAGGGUGAGUAACACGUGGAUAACCUACCUAUAAGACUGGGAUAACUUCGGGAAACCGUAGCUAAUACCGGAUAAUAUUUUGAACCGCAUGGUUCAAAAGUGAAAGACGGUCUUGCUGUCACUUAUAGAUGGAUCCGCGCUGCAUUAGAUAGUUGGUAAGGUAACGGCUUACCAAGGCAACGAUGCAUAGCCGACCUGAGAGGGUGAUCGGCCACACUGGAACUGAGACACGGUCCAGACUCCUACGGGAGGCAGCAGUAGGGAAUCUUCCGCAAUGGGCGAAAGCCUGACGGAGCAACGCCGCGUGAGUGAUGAAGGUCUUCGGAUCGUAAAACUCUGUUAUUAGGGAAGAACAUAUGUGUAAGUAACUGUGCACAUCUUGACGGUACCUAAUCAGAAAGCCACGGCUAACUACGUG
rnacentral:rRNA from 1 species